AUACCCAAAAGGUCGAAAUGUAGAGAGAGGACUGGGACUGAGUUUGCUCUUUAAUUUAUGUGGUCUUUAUGAUGUUGUUGACAAUACACUGGAGUCGGAAAAUUAGUAUAAAAUGUAUCAAUUCCGAAGACCAUUAUAUCUGUCCCGAAGACCUAUUUGCGAGUAUUUUAACGGUUGUAUUCACGAUUUGUGGCGAUAUUUCAUGGCCGGCUUAUGAUCAUUUGGGUGUUUAUCAUGUGGGAACAUUGUUAUUGCAUUGCUUCUAAAGCAAUUAUGAAGGUGGGCUCUCAUCUUGUUUUGGUGAAAUCUUACUGAUACUGGAUCUAUUCCACUGGCAACUGCUACACAGUUUGCAAUAGCAAAAAGACCACAAUCAUUGAAAUUUCUUUGCAAUUGAGCACGAACAAGUUUCACAAUAGGAGGGGGUGAACUUUGUGAAAGAUGUGGAUAUACAGUCUUUAACUGUUGUACAAGAGUUGUUGAAAAGUUGAGAUAAAGGGAAUCAUAGACUGUCAAUGUACCAUUCAUGAAUGCAGACAUCACCCAGUGCUUGAUAUUCAAGUUGUGUAUUUGUAUUCCAUCCCUUUUAAUUUGAUUUCUGACUUUACCACAAGAAACAAGCAAAGUGUCUAUGAAUCCUUCAAGGUGAGGGAACUGGGAUUUCAUAAUAAAUUGACAAGCAUAUAUGUGGUUAUCUGAGAGCCAGCCAUUUGGUGUCAAUAGAACAUUCUCGUCAAAGACUGUGAGAUGCAACUUAGCAAUCCAUGUUUUGGGUUGAUCAUUGGUGCUGCUGUUAUCAAUCUUUGGAUUUGGUUUGUCAUUUGUUUCAAGUGCAAGACCAUUGCAAUCAGAUGGCAGUGAUUGCUUAACAUCAUCCCAGACUUUACAUAAUGAUUCCUCUAAAUUCUGGAUUGACAAAGUGUCUUUUAACAAGUAUGUUGCACUUGUCAACUGCUUGAGGAUCUCUCUGCAUUUUUUUUUAUGCUGUGUCAUCUUGAAAACACGACGUUGAGCCAGUUCAUAGUUGUUCGGUGACCCAGUCUUAGGAAAGCACAAAUCAUCAAGGCAAAAUAAAGGGUUGUUCUUAUACAGUGAUGAAAGGGAGUCCCAUUUCCAUUGUGUAUGUUGGAAUACUGCACAGAAAUGUUUACAUGCUGUGUUAUGUUGUGUGGUCCUAUGGCUCCUUCCCAACGCUUGAUAAUGUGGUUUACCAUAUCUCUUGGCCGGUUGUUCAAAAAAGGUAGUCAUACUUAAAGGCUUCAUUUUGGCGUUCAAUUCCAUUGUUUGUAUGAACAGCAGUUAUUAAAUCAUCUCCACGGAAAGCUUGAGCCCAUUUCUAGAUAAUGGAAAACAUAACUCUUUGAUAAAAAAGGCAGUAGAGUUAAACAUUACCUGUGGUCAAGAAACAAUCUCAAAUCAAUGUUAUGAUGAUAUUUCACAAAGAAAACCAUGCAACACAGAUGAAUGUUGAAAAACCUGUGUUAUCAAACAUGCUUUCUCAACAAGCAAAAAAGUUAUUAACCCAUGUACUGUAUGUGGAUGUUAUUGAAUUAUUUGUACACAUUUAUGAAAAAGAUCUAAGCAAAACAACUAAGUAAGCCUUACUUUCACAUCAGGAUAUUUAACUAUAUGCUGCACAUGGAUGGUUGCCGGACAGUCUAAUUUUUUGCUUUCCUGGACUAAAAAUUUGUUUUGUCGGAAACAGUGAUCUUGCAUCUACAUGAAAUAUACAAAAUAUAUAUGUAUCAGAGAUGCUUCAUAAACAAAUUAACAUGAAAGAAAUUUGUUAAUCCUUUUUAAGUGCAAACCAGUGAUUGUUAAAAGUUGUUCUAUUAGGACAAUUUGCAGCACUGAGUGGGCAGAGCCCCAAUUAGCCUAGGGAUGUAUAGGCAAAGGGGGUGGGCCCCUGCCCUAAAAUUGGCCCUAUUAAGAAUUGCCUGAUUAAAAGUGCCUGUUAUCAGUGCCCUGAUAUCAGCUUUAAUAUCACUGGAAACAAAAUAUGUAGAUGUAAGAUUUUAGAUUUUCUACCUUUUCUUUCUCUUUUCUUGCCUUGUACUUUUCUUUUGCCCUUUUAUUUUUAUCUCUUCCUUGGUGACAGACUAACACCUUUUCU